AUGGGACGCUCUAAUACGGACAUGGUGUGAAGAGUCUACUGAGCUAGUUAGUAGUCCUCCGGCCCCUGAAUGCGGCUAAUCCCAACUGCGGAGCACACAGCUCACAAGCCAGCGAGUAGUGUGUCGUAACGGGCAACUCUGCAGCGGAACCGACUACUUUGGGUGUCCGUGUUUCCUUUUACUCUUAUAUUGGCUGCUUAUGGUGACAAUUAAAGAGUUGUUACCAUAUAGCUAUUGGAUUGGCCAUCCGGUG
rnacentral:other from 1 species